AUGCGUUUUUGUGUUAGUUCUCGGAGAAGCUGUAGGCUUCUAUCACGAAGUUUUGAGGACGGGCUUCGGUUAGAUUGGCUCGUGGCAACAACGAUGAGGACUCCAGUUCUUCGGUCCUGUGGCAACCACGCAAAUUUCCGGGCUUCGCGAUCUCGGAAUCGGUGUUUUCCCUCAUAACUUCGCCUUGUUCGCUCAGUUUCGAUCCGAAUCAUUUUGAGUAGUAAUGUUGUUUU
rnacentral:lncRNA from 1 species